CUUGACGAACAUAGAGCAUUGGAACCACCUGAUCCCUUCCCGAACUCAGAAGUGAAACGAUGCAUCGCCGAUGGUAGUGUGGGGUUUCCCCAU
rnacentral:rRNA from 1 species